AUACGGAGGGUGCGAGCGUUAAUCGGAAUUACUGGGCGUAAAGCGUACGUAGGCGGUUGGUUAAGUUAGAUGUGAAAGCCCCGGGCUUAACCUGGGAACUGCAUUUAAAACUGACGAACUAGAGUUGAGUAGAGGGGAGUGGAAUUUCAGGUGUAGCGGUGAAAUGCGUAGAGAUCUGAAGGAACACCAGUGGCGAAGGCGACUCCCUGGACUCGAACUGACGCUGAGGUACGAAAGCGUGGGUAGCAAACGGGAUUAGAAACCCUUGUAGUCC
rnacentral:rRNA from 1 species